AUGGUGUCGCCUGCGACUGGUUCGACCCCUCGGGGUCGUGCCAACAGGGAACCCGGUGUGAAUCCGGGACUGCCCCGCAGCGGUGAGCGGGAACGACCGCUGUCAUCAAGCACUGGGCCGGACGGCCUGGGAAGCGACAGCCAGUAGGUGACCGGCGAUUCGCCGGUCGGGCCCGCAAGUCCGAAGACCUGCCAGUCGCCCCGCGGACAC
rnacentral:ncRNA from 2 species